AUUGAACGCUGGCGGAAUGCCUUACGCAUGCAAGUCGAACGGUAACAGGUCUUCGGAUGCUGACGAGUGGCGAACGGGUGAGUAAUACAUCGGAACGUGCCUAGUAGUGGGGGAUAACUACUCGAAAGAGUGGCUAAUACCGCAUGAGAUCUACGGAUGAAAGCAGGGGAUCGCAAGACCUUGUGCUACUAGAGCGGCCGAUGGCAGAUUAGGUAGUUGGUGGGAUAAAAGCUUACCAAGCCGACGAUCUGUAGCUGGUCUGAGAGGACGAUCAGCCACACUGGGACUGAGAAACGGCCCAGACUCCUACGGGAGGCAGCAGUGGGGAAUUUUGGACAAUGGGCGCAAGCCUGAUCCAGCAAUGCCGCGUGCAGGAUGAAGGCCUUCGGGUUGUAAACUGCUUUUGUACGGAACGAGAAGCCCCGGGUUAAUACCCUGGGGUCAUGACGGUACCGUAAGAAUAAGCACCGGCUAACUACGUGCCAGCCGCCGCCGUAA
rnacentral:rRNA from 1 species